UAGUGUAACCGGUGGCAGGGAGGGACCCUCUGUAGUGUGCACGGGCUGAAUAUAAGGGUGAAUCCCUGCCGGAGACAGCAGAGCCUGGCACUGAAGAAAUGAGACCAGGAUCUGCAUGGACAAUACAGGCAGAGAUCCUUGCUUGACUUGUCAGUUGGCUACCAAUGAGUGAUGUGAAGAUUUCUGGUGAGCCCAGAGACAGACACUGCAGACGUUAAGGACAGCGAGUGACAGACCUGAGAGCAGCCAAGAGGUUUCAUCCGACGGCUUGUUUAGGCUCCUCAGGGAGAAGAGGCAGCAUGCAUUGGAACGUGGCCCUCCGGAGCGCCGGGCUCUGGGUCAUUCUGAGUUUAGCUGCUGGUCAGCUGACUGAGCAGGAGA